GAGUUUGAUCGUGGCUCAGGAUAAACGCUGGCGGCGUGCUUCAGGCAUGCAAGUCGAACGAGCGACCUCAGCUUGCUGGGGAAGCUAGUGGCGGACGGGUGAGUAACACGUAAGCAACCUGCCCAAAAGUGGGGAAUAACUGACCGAAAGGUUAGCUAAUACCGCAUGUGAUGUGUCCCCUCUGGGGGAUCCAUUAAAGGAGUAAUUCGCUUUUGGAGGGGCUUGCGGCCGAUUAGCUAGUUGGUGGGGUAAUGGCCCACCAAGGCUACGAUCGGUAGCUGGUCUGAGAGGACGGACAGCCACACGGGGACUGAGAUACGGCCCCGACUCCUACGGGAGGCAGCAGCUAGGAAUCUUGGGAAUGGGCGAAAGCCUGACCCAGCAACGCCGCGUGGGCGAUGAAGGCCUUC
rnacentral:rRNA from 1 species